AUUGAACGCUGGCGGCAGGCCUAACACAUGGAAGUCGAACGGUAACAGGGAUCAGCUUGCUGAUUCGCUGACGAGUGGCGGACGGGUGAGUAAUGUCUGGGAAACUGCCUGAUGGAGGGGGAUAACUACUGGAAACGGUAGCUAAUACCGCAUAACGUCGCAAGACCAAAGGGGGGGACCUUCGGGCCUCUUGCCAUCGGAUGUGCCCAGAUGGGAUUAGCUAGUAGGUGGGGUAACGGCUCACCUAGGCGACGAUCCCUAGCUGGUCUGAGAGGAUGACCAGCCACACUGGAACUGAGACACGGUCCAGACUCCUACGGGAGGCAGCAGUGGGGAAUAUUGCACAGUGGGCGCAAGCCUGAUGCAGCCAUGCCGCGUGUAUGAAGAAGGCCUUCGGGUUGUAAAGUACUUUCAGCGGGGAGGAAGGGAGUAAAGUUAAUACCUUUGCUCAUUGACGUUACCCGCAGAAGAAGCACCGGCUAACUCCGUG
rnacentral:rRNA from 1 species